rnacentral:piRNA from 1 species
UGCAUUUUGGUCAAAACAAUAGCUGGGUUGGU